rnacentral:rRNA from 1 species
UACGAACCGUACAAACGUUAUUCGGAAUCACUGGGCUUAAAGGGUGCGUAGGCGGCCAUGUAAGUGAGGUGUGAAAUCCCUCGGCUCAACCGAGGAACUGCGCUUCAUACUGCAUGGCUUGAGGGAGACAGGGGUAAGCGGAACUGAUGGUGGAGCGGUGAAAUGCGUUGAUAGUCAUCAGGAACACCGGGUGGCGAAAGCGGCUUACUGGGUCUGCUUACUGACGGCUAGG